CUUGAGGAAAUGCAAAAGGUGAAGCCUGAUACGGCUGAGAUAAAAAAAAGCUAAGUUUGAAUUCUAUUGUUUCUAUGAGAUGAAAAUAUUGUAUCGUAAAUGAAAAUACAAGCUACACCUUAAGUAUUUGAAGUACUCAAGUAAUGAUGAAAGACUGCAACAUGUUCCUGAAGGAUUGACUGUGGAUACUUGGAAGGAAACGUUCAAAGUUUUUGCUAAUGAGGACUUUCAGGCUUUAUGUUCCAUCAAUACAAAUAAUCGUGCUAGUCAAAGAAUUAUCGCUUCAACUGGUCCCACUCCUUUUGCGCAAGUAUAGUAAGAUAUGAUAGAUGAGGAGAUUGGUGAAGUACCAUAUGCUUCUGAAGUUUGGAUGGCUACACAUGGGUUCUUAGAUGAGCAAGGCCAAACAUAAUGGCAUGAUCUAGAAUCAUCAAGGAUAUGUGAAGAGAUGCAAAGGAUUGAGAAACAACCAACAAAUGAUAAUGAGACUGGUCCUCCUCCAGAUGAUGUCUUAAAAGAGAUGUUUGGCAUUAGAUCUGGUUAUGUUCAUGGUAAAGGAUUAGGAUACAAAGCAAGCACUAGAGGAAUGGCAUGUGGUUCUAGAAAUGAGGAAUUAAAUGACUUGAGAGAUGAGGUAGUAAUGUUGAAUGCUCGUUUGAAGGAACAAGAACAAUGCAAUAAUGAGAUAGCAUAACUAAAUGCUUGACUCAAGGAACAAGAAGAGCGCAAUUUAGAGUUUUUUAAAAGAUUUGAGAGUUUGAUAGGAUACAAAUCAUCAAAAAGUCAGGAUAUGACAAUAGUAAGUACUUUUUAGAUAUAUUUAAUUUUAUGAAUUGGAAAAACUACUUUUUGAAUGACCUUUUAUUUAAGUCUAUUGUAGGAUUAACAGAUCGAGUGAUGAAGGCUUGCAGACUAGCAAUGAAGUUGAAUUAGGGUUUGAAGACUACUAUUAUCAUAGGAGUUUUAGUUUGAAUAUUAUCAAGUAUGAACAAAUUAGGAAUAAAAAUAGGUAGAUUUAAGUUUAUUUUGCA